rnacentral:rRNA from 1 species
AAAAAAGGUAAGCUACUAAGAGCGAAUGGUGGAUGCCUUGACUGGUAAAGGCGAUGAAGGACGUACUAGACUGCGAUAAGCUACGGGGAGCUGUCAAGAAGCUUUGAUCCGUAGAUUUCCGAAUGGGGCAACCCAAUGUAUAGAGAUAUACAUUACCUAUAUAGGAGCGAACGAGGGGAAUUGAAACAUCUUAGUACUCUCAGGAAAAGAAAUCAAUAGAGAUUGCGUCAGUAGCGGCGAGCGAAAGCGCAAGAGGGCAAACCCAGUGCUUGCACUGGGGGUUGUAGGACUGCAAUGUGCAAGAGGUAAGUUUAGCAGAACAUUCUGGAAAGUAUAACCAUAGAGGGUGAUAGUCCCGUAUGCGAAAAACAAACCUUAGCUAGCAGUAUCCUGAGUAGGGCGGGACACGAGGAAUCCUGUCUGAAUCCGGGUCGACCACGAUCCAACCCUAAAUACUAAUACCAGAUCGAUAGUGCACAAGUACCGUGAGGGAAAGGUGAAAAGAACUGAGGUGAUCAGAGUGAAAUAGAACCUGAAACCAUUUGCUUACAAUCAUUCAGAGCCCUAUGUAGCAAUACAGGGUGAUGGACUGCCUUUUGCAUAAUGAGCCUGCGAGUUGUGGUGUCUGGCAAGGUUAAGCAAACGCGAAGCCGUAGCGAAAGCGAGUCUGAAUAGGGCGCUUAGUCAGAUGCUGCAGACCCGAAACGAAGUGAUCUAUCCAUGAGCAAGUUGAAGCUAGUGUAAGAACUAGUGGAGGACUGAACCCAUAGGCGUUGAAAAGCCCCGGGAUGACUUGUGGAUAGGGGUGAAAGGCCAAUCAAACUUCGUGAUAGCUGGUUCUCUCCGAAAUAUAUUUAGGUAUAGCGUUGUGUCGUAAUAUAAGGGGGUAGAGCACUGAAUGGGCUAGGGCAUACACCAAUGUACCAAACCCUAUCAAACUCCGAAUACCUUAUAUGUAAUCACAGCAGUCAGGCGGCGAGUGAUAAAAUCCGUCGUCAAGAGGGAAACAACCCAGACUACCAGCUAAGGUCCCUAAAUCUUACUUAAGUGGAAAACGAUGUGAAGUUACUUAAACAACCAGGAGGUUGGCUUAGAAGCAGCCAUCCUUUAAAGAAAGCGUAAUAGCUCACUGGUCUAGUGAUUUUGCGCGGAAAAUAUAACGGGGCUAAAGUAAGUACCGAAGCUGUAGACUUGCACACAACUUAGAUUAUUUAAGUUUAGAAUAUGAGAAACUAAGUUAUAUGUUUAGUUAUAUUUUUACUGAUUUUUAUAGAGUAAAGAUAGAAAUAAAACUUAGUAAAAUCAGUAAAAAUAUUCUUAGACUAAAGUUAAGUAGUUUAAGUUGUGUGCAAGUGGUAGGAGAGCGUUCUAUUUGCGUCGAAGGUAUACCGGUAAGGAGUGCUGGAGCGAAUAGAAGUGAGCAUGCAGGCAUGAGUAGCGAUAAUUAAUGUGAGAAUCAUUAACGCCGUAAACCCAAGGUUUCCUACGCGAUGCUCGUCAUCGUAGGGUUAGUCGGGUCCUAAGUCGAGUCCGAAAGGGGUAGACGAUGGCAAAUUGGUUAAUAUUCCAAUACCAACAUUAGUGUGCGAUGGAAGGACGCUUAGGGCUAAGGGGGCUAGCGGAUGGAAGUGCUAGUCUAAGGUCGUAGGAGGUUAUACAGGCAAAUCCGUAUAACAAUACUCCGAGAACUGAAAGGCUUUUUGAAGUCUUCGGAUGGAUAGAAGAACCCCUGAUGCCGUCGAGCCAAGAAAAGUUUCUAAGUUUAGCUAAUGUUGCCCGUACCGUAAACCGACACAGGUGGGUGGGAUGAGUAUUCUAAGGCGCGUGGAAGAACUCUCUUUAAGGAACUCUGCAAAAUAGCACCGUAUCUUCGGUAUAAGGUGUGGUUAGCUUUGUAUUAGGAUUUACUCCGAAAGCAAGGAAACUUACAACAAAGAGUCCCUCCCGACUGUUUACCAAAAACACAGCACUCUGCUAACUCGUAAGAGGAUGUAUAGGGUGUGACGCCUGCCCGGUGCUCGAAGGUUAAUUGAUGGGGUUAGCAUUAGCGAAGCUCUUGAUCGAAGCCCGAGUAAACGGCGGCCGUAACUAUAACGGUCCUAAGGUAGCGAAAUUCCUUGUCGGUUAAAUACCGACCUGCAUGAAUGGCGUAACGAGAUGGGAGCUGUCUCAAAGAGGGAUCCAGUGAAAUUGUAGUGGAGGUGAAAAUUCCUCCUACCCGCGGCAAGACGGAAAGACCCCGUGGACCUUUACUACAGCUUGACACUGCUACUUGGAUAAGAAUGUGCAGGAUAGGUGGGAGGCUUUGAGUAUAUGACGCCAGUUGUAUAUGAGCCAUUGUUGAGAUACCACUCUUUCUUAUUUGGGUAGCUAACCAGCUUGAGUUAUCCUCAAGUGGGACAAUGUCUGGUGGGUAGUUUGACUGGGGCGGUCGCCUCCCAAAUAAUAACGGAGGCUUACAAAGGUUGGCUCAGAACGGUUGGAAAUCGUUCGUAGAGUAUAAAGGUAUAAGCCAGCUUAACUGCAAGACAUACAAGUCAAGCAGAGACGAAAGUCGGUCUUAGUGAUCCGGUGGUUCUGUGUGGAAGGGCCAUCGCUCAAAGGAUAAAAGGUACCCCGGGGAUAACAGGCUGAUCUCCCCCAAGAGCUCACAUCGACGGGGAGGUUUGGCACCUCGAUGUCGGCUCAUCGCAUCCUGGGGCUGGAGCAGGUCCCAAGGGUAUGGCUGUUCGCCAUUUAAAGCGGUACGCGAGCUGGGUUCAGAACGUCGUGAGACAGUUCGGUCCCUAUCUGCCGUGGGCGUAAGAAGAUUGAAGAGAUUUGACCCUAGUACGAGAGGACCGGGUUGAACAAACCACUGGUGUAGCUGUUGUUCUGCCAAGAGCAUCGCAGCGUAGCUAAGUUUGGAAAGGAUAAACGCUGAAAGCAUCUAAGCGUGAAGCCAACUCUAAGAUGAAUCUUCUCUAAGCUCUCUAGAAGACUACUAGUUUGAUAGGCUGGGUGUGUAAUGGAUGAAAGUCCUUUAGCUGACCAGUACUAAUAGAGCGUUUGGCUUAUCUUUAAUAAAGCAU